GACUCCUGAUGAUCAACCUCCUCCUUCACAUCUGACUCCUGAUGAUCAACCUCCUCCUUCACAUCUGACUCCUGUGAUCAAUCCAGAGAGUCUUCUUUUUUGGGGAAUCCCGAUGGACGACGUCAUCCAAUAGGCCGUCAUCACCACCACCGCCCACAAGAUAAUUGUCAUUCAGGUUAUCAAUUGGAAGAGCAUUGGCAAUAUGUCCUGUCUGGUAACUUGUCUCGUUCAAUGGAUUUACAUUGGCAGGUGUAAAAAAAAAAAACUCAGUCGAUCUCAAACUGCAGAAAAACUUUUGUAAGUCUUUAACUGUAUCAAAGUCUGUGGCCUGUGAUGUUGGGACAAAUGAUAGUCCCGUAUACAAGAGACUACAGCACAACGGCAGAGUCAUGUCUUAAGUGUAAAACUAACAAUGACUCAAUAAUCCAUGCCUUCUGGGAAUGUUAUGAUGUCAUAAAGUUAUGGUCGGAGUUAGAAAGUUGGCUGGCAGAAGUACAGUUAUACAAUGUAAAAUUACUUUUCAUCUGUCUGUCUGCAUAUUUCAAUGACAUGCCUUUCGAGGAUGCGGUGAGAUACCCGAUGGUUGGACGAUACUUUUCUCGUCAAUCGUCUUAAAUACUAUUCUUAAAACCUGGAAAUCAACCAAUCCUCCGCUGUUAACUCAAUGGAAAGUUCAAAUUCUUUAUUAUCUAAAAAUGUAAAGUGCUUGGGCAACGGAGAAAAAUAAAAUGGUGGAGUUUGAGGCCAUGUGACGGAGAGUGAUGCUGGAGAUGGGGGUGUGUCAGUGGCGACCCAUCAUUCAGGGCAGAGCCCCAGAAUUUUUGACCCAAGAAAUUAAAUAUAUAUAUAAAUAUACACUGCUCAAAAAAAUAAAGGGAACACUUAAACAACACAAUGUAACUCCAAGUCAAUCACACUUCUGUGAAAUCAAACUGUCCACUUAGGAAGCAACACUGAUUGACAAUACAUUUCACAUGCUGUUGUGCAAAUGGAAUAGACAAAAGGUGGAAAUUAUAGGCAAUUAGCAAGACACCCCCAAUAAAGGAGUGGUUCUGCAGGUGGUGACCACAGACCACUUCUCAGUUCCUAUGCUUCCUGGCUGUUAUUUUGGUCACUUUUGAAUGCUGGCGGUGCUCUCACUCUAGUGGUAGCAUGAGACGGAGUCUACAACCCACACAAGUGGCUCAGGUACUGUGGCAAGAAGGUUUGCUGUGUCUGUCAGCGUAGUGUCCAGAGCAUGGAGGCGCUACCAGGAGACAGGCCAGUACAUCAGGAGACGUGGAGGAGGCCGUAGGAGGGCAACAACCCAGCAGCAGGACCGCUACCUCCUCCUCAGUGACUGGCAGCCGGCCGGGGGCUGAGCCCGAGACCCCUGCUGUUCACAAUAACAGUGGAGGCUGGCUCAGCUGGGUUUUUGGGAGUGGAAGAGUUAAUAAGAAGGAGGUUAAUCUACCUGAGGACAAAGACAGAUCUGUAAGGAACUGGUAAUUAACACUAUAUUCUAUGUAGAGACAAUUGUGUGGAUUAAAAAAAAACAUUUGUGGCUUGCUUCACAUUGCUAAUAUCUUCUUCCUCAGAUUGUCUGGGAUCCAACUCUGCACAGAUGGGUUAACAAAACUGAACCCAGGACUGAGAACAAGUGUGUACCACCACCUCCACCGAUGGGGACAUAUGGAUAUCAGGGGAACACUGGCCCCAAAGGAGUGAAUCCUUACUCUAUGAAAGCAGCAGGUCUAUGGGGCAGCAGAUACCCUACAAUGCAUUACAAUGAUGGGACCAACUCAAAGCCUUCAAGCCAUGGGCCUGGACUGCUUCCUAGACAGCUCUCUGGCUUGCUCCCUCCUUCACACUUUGACCUCAUGGCACCAAUGGUUGUGCCACCUGACACUCUACCCUACUGAGGCCAUUUGCCCAGAGUGGAUUUGCUAUACAUCUAUCUUUUUCAGCAUUAAAAAACUUCAGCAUUAAAAAUGUAUUAAAAGGUGAUCUUUUAAUUAAAUCUCUCCUUUGUGUCCUCAUGUUCACAUUAAUUUGAUGUGUUCUAUCAUCAUUUACAAUGCUUAUUGCUUCUGCAUUGCUUUACAGACAAGUGUAUAUUAUACACAUAUUUUAUUUUAGACAUUGCAUU